GUAAUAUUUUUAAAUACAUCAACUAAAUGCAACUCAGCCACUUUAAUUAAGCUAGAACCUUUUAGGAAUA
rnacentral:tRNA from 1 species